rnacentral:rRNA from 1 species
AAUUCGAAGAGUUUGAUCCUGGCUCAGAACGAACGCUGGCGGCGUGGCUAAGACAUGCAAGUCGUACGAUAGGUUGUAGCAAUAUGGCCUAUAGUGGCGGACGGGUGAGUACAAAAUAGGUAACGUGCCCCGGGCACAGGGAUAGCGUCGGAAGCUUGCUUCCUUUGCGAAAGUGACGGUAAUACCUGGUAAUGUCAUUGAAAGGCAUCUUUUGAUGACCAUAAGGUGGGGACCUUCGGGCCUACCGGCCUGGGAGCGGCCUAUUUCCUAUCAGCUAGUUGGUGAGGUAACGGCUCACCAAGGCAACGACGGGUAGCCGGACUGAGAGGUUGGACGGCCACAUCGGGACUGAGACACUGCCCGGACAUCUACGGAUGGCUGCAGUAACGAAUAUUCCGCAAUGGGCGAAAGCCUGACGGAGCGACGCCGCGUGGAGGACGAAGGCCCUUGGGUUGUAAACUCCUUUUAGGGUUGGGAAAGCAAUGGGCGCUAAUAUCGCCCGGCGUUGAUCUAGCCCAGAAAAAGCCUCGGCUAAUCCCGUGCCAGCAGCCGCGGUAAUACGGGAGAGGCAAGCGUUGUUCGGAAUCACUGGGCUUAAAGCGCGUGUAGGCGGCUCGGUAAGUACUUUGUGAAAUCUCCCCUCUCAAUGGGGAAAUUGCUUGGUAUACUGCCGAGCUUGAGGUAGGUAGGGGUGCCUGGAACUCUAGGUGGAGCGGUGAAAUGCGUAGAUAUCUAGAGGAACGCCCGUGGCGAAAGCGGGGCACUGGGCCUGUCCUGACGCUGAGACGCGAAAGCGUGGGUAGCAAACGGGAUUAGAUACCCCGGUAGUCCACGCCGUAAACGAUGCGCACUAGGUUUGCAUGACUCUGACGUCCUGCGAGCCGAAACAAAAGCGUUAAGUGCGCCGCCUGGGGAGUACGGCCGCAAGGCUAAAACUCAAAGGAAUUGACGGGGGCUCACACAAGCGGUGGAGGAUGUGGCUCAAUUCGAAGCAACGCGCAGAACCUUACCCGGGUUUGACAUGCUAGAAUUAGCUCCAUGAAAGUGGAGUGACGCGGCUUGCCGUGGAACUAGCACAGGUGCUGCAUGGCUGUCGUCAGCUCGUGCUGUGAAGUGUCGGGUUAAGUCCCUUAACGAGCGAAACCCUUAUCGUUAGUUGCCAGCGCGUCAUGGCGGGCACUUUAACGAGACUGCCGGUGUUAAACCGGAGGAAGGUGGGGAUGACGUCAAGUCCUCAUGGCCUUUAUGCCCGGGGUUGCACACGUCCUACAAUGGGAAGGUACAGAGCGAUGCGAGACCGCGAGGUGGAGCAAAUCGCAAAAAACUUCCCCCAGUUCGGAUUGCAGGCUGCAACUCGCCUGCAUGAAGUUGGAAUCGCUAGUAAUCGCGCAUCAGCUACGGCGCGGUGAAUAUGUUCCUGAGCCUUGUACACACCGCCCGUCAAGUCAUGGGAGCUGGUAGUACCCGAAGUCCGUUUAGCGAACCGCAAGGAGCGGCGGCCGACGGUAAGACCGGUGACUGGGACUAAGUCGUAACAAGGUAGCCGUAGGGGAACCUGCGGCUGGAUCACCUCCUUUCUA